UGGGGGAUAUUGCACAAUGGGCGAAAGCCUGAUGCAGCGACGCCGCGUGGGGGAUGAAGGCCUUCGGGUUGUAAACUUCUUUUGCUCUGAACAAGGCAUGCUAAUGGGUGUGUUGAGUGUAGGGGUUGAUUAGCGCCGGCUAACUACGUGCCAGCAGCCGCGGUAAUACGUAGGGCGCGAGCGUUGUCCGGAAUUAUUGGGCGUAAAGGGCUUGUAGGUGGCUGGUUGCGUCUGUCGUGAAAGCUCAUGGCUUAACUGUGGGUUUGCGGUGGGUACGGGCUGGCUUGAGUGCAGUAGUGGAGGCUGGAAUUCCUGGUGUAGCGGUGGAAUGCGCAGAUAUCAGGAGGAAUACCGGUGGCGAAGGCGGGUCUCUGGGCUGUUACUGACACUGAGGAGCGAAAGCAUGGGGAGCGAACAGG
rnacentral:rRNA from 1 species